UACGUAGGGUCCGAGCGUUGUCCGGAAUUAUUGGGCGUAAGGGGCUCGUAGGCGGUUUGUUGCGUCGGGAGUGAAAAUUCACAGCUUAACUGUGAACCUGCUUCCGAUACGGGCAGACUUGAGGCAUUCAGGGGAGAACGGAAUUCCACGUGUAGCGGUGAAAUGCGUAGAGAUGUGGAGGAACACCGAUGGCGAAGGCAGCCUUCUGGGCCAACACUGACGCUCAUGCACGAAAGCGUGGGGAGCAAACAGG
rnacentral:rRNA from 1 species